GACAGAGGGUGCAAACGUUGUUCGGAAUUACUGGGCGUAAAGCGCGUGUAGGCGGCUUGGCAAGUCGGGUGUGAAAGCCCUGGGCUCAACCCAGGAAGUGCACUCGAAACUGCUUCGCUUGAGUGUCGGAGAGGAAAGCGGAAUUCUCGGUGUAGAGGUGAAAUUCGUAGAUAUCGAGAGGAACACCGGUGGCGAAGGCGGCUACCUGGACAGAAACUGACGCUGAGACGCGAAAGCGUGGGGAGCAAACAGG
rnacentral:rRNA from 1 species